rnacentral:rRNA from 1 species
UGGGGAAUAUUGCUCAAUGGGGGAAACCCUGAAGCAGCUACGCCGCGUGUGUGAUUGAAGGCCUUCGGGUUGUAAAGCACUGUUGUAGGGGAAGAAUUUUGACGGUACCCUAUGUAGAAAGCACCGGCUAACUCCGUGCCAGCAGCCGCGGUAAUACGGAGGGUGCAAGCGUUGCUCGGAAUUACUGGGCGUAAAGGGUGCGCAGGCGGUCUGUUAAGUCAGAUGUGAAAGCCCGGGGCUCAACCCCGGAACUGCAUCUGAAACUGGCAGACUUGAGGCAGAGAGAGGGAAGUGGAAUUCCUGGUGUAGAGGUGAAAUUCGUUGAUAUCAGGAGGAACACCAGCGGCGAAGGCGGCUUCCUGGCUCUGUUCUGACGCUGAGGCACGAAAGCGUGGGUAGCAAACAGG